GACGAACGCUGGCGGCGUGCUUAACACAUGCAAGUCGAACGGAAAGGCCCUGCUUUUGUGGGGUGCUCGAGUGGCGAACGGGUGAGUAACACGUGAGUAACCUGCCCUUGACUUUGGGAUCACUUCAGGAAACUGGGGCUCAUACCGGAUAGGAGCUCCUGCUGCGUGGUGGGGGUUGGAAAGUUUCGGCGGUUGGGGAUGGACUCGCGGCUUAUCAGCUUGUUGGUGGGGUAGUGGCUUACCAAGGCUUUGACGGGUAGCCGGCCUGAGAGGGUGACCGGCCACAUUGGGACUGCGAUACGGCCCAGACUCCUACGGGAGGCAGCAGUGGGGAAUAUUGCACAAUGGGCGGAAGCCUGAUGCAGCAACGCCGCGUGCGGGAUGACGGCCUUCGGGUUGUAAACCGCUUUCGCCUGUGACGAAGCGUGAGUGACGGUAAUGGGUAAAGAAGCACCGGCUAACUACGUG
rnacentral:rRNA from 1 species